rnacentral:rRNA from 1 species
AGAAUCAACGCUGGCGGCGUGCCUAACACAUGCAAGUCGAACGAGAAAGUGGAGCAAUCCAUGAGUAAAGUGGCGCACGGGUGAGUAACACGUGACUAACCUACCCCUUGAGUGGGGAAUAACUUCGGGAAACCGAGGCUAAUACCGCAUAACACCUACGGGUCAAAGGAGCAAUUCGCUUAAGGAGGGGUCGCGGCAGAUUAGUUAGUUGGCAGGGUAAUGGCCUACCAAGACGGUGAUCUGUA